GGAACUCCUGUAAUUUGGUCAGAACAGAAUGGGGAAGCUGUAAAAGCAGGUGGCUGAAAAGCCCAGGAAGAUGUGUUCAAAAGCUGUUCUCACAGGCCCAGAGCUCAUGCUCAGAGUUGGAGGGCCCCCAGAAAGCUGGUCACUCAGGGAUUCUGAGACACAGUGGAAGCAACACCACACUGGCGUGAAUGAAACCAGAUUUCUGACGGCUGGGCUCUGCCGCCUACCAGUUGAGCCCUGAGCAGUCCUUAACCUCUCCAGAACUCAUUCUCUUCAAUGAAAAUACUCCAGGCAGGAAAAAUACAGACUGAGAUGUUGACAGUGGUCCACUCGGGAUGUGGGAUUACAGGUGAAGUCUGUUUCUUCUUAUUGCCUGUAUCAGAGUUUAAUUAGAGAUGCAUAACUACUAAGAAUGACCUAGAAUCAGUGGUUUAUUAUAAGGGAUUUGAAGUUAUGUAAUUGUGGGCGCUGGUUAAAUAGCUUAUGUGCACUUGCUGCUUAUGUUUCUCGCGCUGGGCCUGAAGUCAGGAGGGUAGCAGCUAGGAAGAAUGAAGAGACAUGAAGUAUGGGAGAGUGAGGGCAAACUGGAACUUGCAAGAAAAAUGUGGCACCCUGAAGGGUGAAGUGGAACCUGCAUCUGUCUCCCACUGCCUCCACCACCUCCAACCUCAGUGAUGUCAGUGACCUGCAAAAGGAGCUGGGACCUUUGGCAUGGAGCUAAACACACAUUUGGACCAGGAGUUGAGCAAGUUGAAGGGCAAGAUGUGGUGGGAACUAUGAGUCCAGUUGCCUUCCCAUGCCAACAGGAAGGAACCCUGAGGACUGCAGGAGAGACCACAGACAUGAACUUCACCUCACGUUGGAGGAAUGACUGUACACAAUGAUAGCUCUGGGCUUUUAUUGCCCUUCACAUUAUAAUUUUUAAGACUGGAUAAACCAGAAUGUAUUGAUACUGAUCUGUUAGUUCAGGUCCAUUGAAAAGCAAAUCAAGAUGCUAUUAAAUGUGCAACAAAUUUAUUAGGAAAAAUGCUUGUGAGACAAAUGGAGAGAGAACAAAGAGAGUUUGGACAGUUAUUUUCCAGACUGUGGAUGAAAAAGUAAAGUAAUUCAGACUACAGAGGGUGGAGAAUGAAGCAGGUGCCCAGGGGAACAAGGGGCUCCAGAAGAAGGCACAGAGAAGAUACCUGCUAUUGUGCUUGACUACUCCUGGAUCCCUUUUGUUCUGUGUCUUAUGAGGCUGGGCUGCACAUCUUAUCCCUGGAUUGUGUCAGUCUGUGUAAUAAAAGAGAGCUGUACUUCCUGUUUUUCACGUAACCUGGAGAACUGCUACGGACUUAGAAGAAUUUAAAGCUUCCCAUGCCAUGGGGCAAUGUGUGAAAUAAUUGCCAUCAUCAAAAACUCUUCCUCUGGGGCACCAGGAUGGCUCAGUCAGUUAAGCGUCC